rnacentral:rRNA from 1 species
UACGAGGGGGGCAAGCGUUGUUCGGAAUUAUUGGGCGUAAAGCGUGCGCAGGCGGUUCGGAAAGAGAGGUGUGAAAUCCCAGGGCUUAACCUUGGAACUGCACUUUUAACUACCGGGCUAGAGUACGUCAGAGGGGGGUAGAAUUCCACGUGUAGCAGUGAAAUGCGUAGAGAUGUGGAGGAAUACCGAUGGCGAAGGCAGCCCCCUGGGAUGAUACUGACGCUCAUGCACGAAAGCGUGGGGAGCAAACAGG